UAGAACAUCUCCGUGUUUGGAGGGCUGGUGGUUUGAACAGUUGCAAAGCUGUUCUCUGCAAGAGGAGCGCUCAGGAGGCUGAGGCAGGGGGAUCUCUGUGAGCGUCUCUCCUCUCCCUGUGGCCCAGCAGUUUCUGAUACAGAGGAGAUGCACUGUCAUUUGGGGGAAAGCGUCUUGUUGCACUUGGUUCUUAACUUGUGGCUCACAACCCUGUGCCCAUCACUCCGUGAACUCUGACCUGCACUCUGCUCUGCAAGAGGAUGAAACUCAGCAGGUGGAGACGUUCUGUCAUUAAGAAACCCCAGAGCCUCUGUAGAGAAGACUGGCAGUGUGUCCCACAAGCUCUGGGACAGAGAACCAACAGUGUGACUUACAGGAAGGAGAGCUAAGCAACG